rnacentral:rRNA from 1 species
GGACUACUGGGGUAUCUAAUCCUGUUUGCUACCCACGCUUUCGUGUCUCAGCGUCAGUUACGGUCCAGAGAGCCGUCUACACCACCGGUGUUCCUCCUGAUAUCUACGCAUUUCACCGCUACACCAGGAAUUCCACUCUCCCCUCCCGCACUCUAGCCCCCCAGUUUUCGGCGCACCCUCCCGGUUGAGCCGGGAGAUUUCACACCAAACUUAGGGAGCCGCCUACACACCCUUUACGCCCAGUAACUCCGAACAACGCUCGCUGCCUACGUAUUACCGCGGCUGCUGGCAC